rnacentral:rRNA from 1 species
UACGAAGGGAGCUAGCGUUGUUCGGAAUUACUGGGCGUAAAGCGCACGUAGGCGGAUUUUUAAGUCAGGGGUGAAAUCCCAAGGCUCAACCUUGGAACUGCCUUUGAUACUGGAAGUCUCGAGAUCGGGAGAGGUGAGUGGAAUUCCUAGUGUAGAGGUGAAAUUCGUAGAUAUUAGGAAGAACACCAGUGGCGAAGGCGGCUCACUGGCCCGAUACUGACGCUGAGGUGCGAAAGCGUGGGGAGCAAAC